UUUUCUUAUUCAGCCAAAGACAAAUACCCAAAGUUAAUGAGAUCAACAACAACAACAACAAAAAACACUAAAUUCAACCAUUUAGAAAAACAGUUUUGAGGGGUCAUCCACCACUUUUGAUCUGAUGACUGUAAGUUAGAAAAGUCAUUCUGCAAAGGAUUGAGCUUUGAUUACAAGGUCUGAGAAAACCUGGAUGUUUCAUUUGCACUGGUUUUAGAAGGACCACCAAAACACUUUUUCUUAGACUCUGAAUAUGAAUAUUAUGGAGUUGAUCCUCUUUACAUGCAUGCAUAGGUCUUUUUCUCAUGAAAACAAAAGUGCACAUUCCGAAACAUGUCCAUCUUUGAGUCUGAGUCUGCAUUGAAUGCUGAGCAAGCAGUCAGACAGUGUGUGUGUGUGUGUGUGUGUGUGUGUGUGUGUGUGUGUGUGUGUGUGUGUGUGUGUGUGUGUGUGUGUGUGUGUGUGUGUGUUUGUAAUAGGAAUGUGUGCCUUCGGUGUGUGAUGUGACAUUCUCCAGGACUCCUCUCUAAAAGCUUGAAGAGGAAUGUGAAGGAGAAUUUCAUCAUCCACUCAAAAACCUGCUGGAGGUGAGCUGCACUCAAACCUCCUGGAGUCCCUCCCACACAUCCAGCAGGACUUUCCCUAGGGGAGGGGAAGUCUGCAGAAAGUGCAGGCCAGAACUGGUGAGGAUAAAGCGAGAUGAGAAAAAUCCAGAAAAAGUGACAACACUGCUUAUGGGCCUGAGUGUGUUUGCUCCCAAAGUGACCAAAAGUGUAUGCACAUCCAAAAAGUGCUGUUAAAAAAGUUGAAUUCAUUUUUAAUUUGUGAUUCAGUCUCCAGAAAAGGCUCGUGCAGGAAUUCGAAGCCAGAAUUCAAAACUUCCCAUGAGAGGCCAUGGGAAUGAGACAACCUGCUCAGUGUAAGGCAUUAAUGCUAACCACACAUUAGGAUACCACUUUGCGGGGCUUAGCUGUUUCAUCUUAUCUUUUUACUACUCUCUAUGGAGAUUCAAAACCAGGACCACACUGCAGUGGCAGAAAGCCACUUGUGUAUAGCUACACAAUGACGGCCAGCCUGCCAGGAUCAAAAUUAAGACUCUCUAAGCCAUGAGGCUUCAGGGCUAACUUGCUCAGGUUGAUUUCAUUUUCAUAAGACUGUUGAUUCAAAAGCUGGGUCCAGUGGUCCUCAGUUAUGGGAUCCAGGCCACACUGGCCUCACAUGAGUGGGUCACAGCUGGGACUUGUACCCAGAACCUACUCAUUGUUAAACAUCAGCUAACUGCAACUCAAAAGUUCUGCCAUGAGAGAAGUUCUUGAGAGGGUCUUUCUGCGAUGAUAACGUUGAUUCAAAUACUUGCUCUGUCCCUCGGGUUAAGGUCCAGGACUUUAUAGCUUUACAGGGAGAUGCCCCUGUCAGGGUACUUCAGAGUCUUCUCACUGUGGCCAUUUGUGCCACAAUAUACUGCUUUGCAGGGCUCACCUGUUCAGAUGUAUUUGACUUUCCGUACAUUGUGGUGUUUGAAAAUCAUCAUCUACAUCCAGGACAUUCUGGCUCUCCAAGAGAUUUGAACCUAUAACCAGUCUGUAAGACUGUAAUAUGGCAGGUGUCACAACAACAAUAAGGUCUCUCCCUGCUCACCUGUGCAAGUUUAUUUACUCUUCUUCAGGAUAUUGAUGUUAUUCAAGAACACUUUUUUCAGAGGCAUUCUCUACAUUCUUGUGAUAGGAAGUCAGGUAUACAGAGCUAACUCGGUCCAGGUCAAGUAAUUGGCUGAUUUUCUUCCAUUUACCUGCAAGUAUAUCAUUCUUUAUCUUUGUGUCAGUUGUGUUCGCUUUCUUUUUCAAAACAAAAAUGUAUAAACUCCAUUCUCUCCACGUGCUUACUGUAGUUUACCGUUCAAAUACUCAAAAACAAGUUGAUUAUGGACUCAGUGAUAACCUAGCAUUGAAAAACCACUCAGACAUGUACUGGUUGAGUUUCUGUUCCCACCACAACACAGAAACAGCAUGCAUUAAAGUUGAAAAUGAUCUUUCAAAUACAGACUAAAACACUGAUUCUGGUGCUUUUAGAUUUCAGUGCUGUCUUUGCCAGUGUGGAUCAUAAGAUAAUAUUGUGGCAGAGACUAGAAAAAUGAGUGGGUUCAUUGGGUUCAGUUUAAACUGGUUCAGGACAUACCUACGAGGCAGGCAGUGCUUUGUGUCCAUCAGAGACUGUCUCAAGUAAAGUGAAGUCAAGUAUGGAGUCCCCCAAGGUUCAACUC